rnacentral:piRNA from 1 species
GGAGCUUUCUUGACUUUCUACACUCAGC